UCAGAGAUCUUGAAAACUUUUUACCUCCGACAAAUUGGUCAAUGACGUGAACAACAUUUCCGAUAUUAGCAACUAAAGCAGCGAGAUCAAAGUUUUCAAGAUCUCUGACACAGACAUGGACUCCAGCUACAGUAGCGCAAAGGUCUUGUUCCUCUCUUUUGCCAGUGCUGAUGUGUGGAUCUGCGCACAAGUGGGCUCCGAGGACAUUGACACAAAGCUCUCUUUGCUCUCUCUUGGCAGCAGCAGUAACUUUGUGUCAAUGUCCUCGGAGCCCACUUGUGCGCAGAUCCACACAUCAGCACUGGCAAAAGAGAGGAACAAGAUCUUUGCGCUACUGUAGCUGGAGUUCAAGUCUGUGUCAGAGAUGUUGAAAACUUUGAUAUCACUUCACUAGUAAACAAUAUUGGAAGCGUUGUCCAUAUCAUAGAUCAAUUUGUGAGUGGCACUGGAAAGAGAGAGGAGCAAGAUUCUCUUCUUUGCCCUACUAUUAUGGGUGUCCAGAUUUGUCUUU
rnacentral:sRNA from 1 species